rnacentral:misc_RNA from 1 species
UCCGAGUUGUCCCCGGCAGUCUCCUUAGAGUCCCCGGCAUUACCCGCUGGCAACUAAGGACAGGGGUUGCGCUCGUUGCGGCACUUAACCCAACAUCUCACGACACGAGCUGACGACAGCCAUGCACCACCUGUGCACCGGCCCCGAAGGGCUGCCGUAUUUCUACGACAUUCCGGUGCAUGUCAAGCCUUGGUAAGGUUCUUCGCGUUGCGUCGAAUUAAACCACAUGCUCCGCUGCUUGUGCGGGUCCCCGUCAAUUCCUUUGAGUUUUAGCCUUGCGGCCGUACUCCCCAGGCGGGGUGCUUAAUGCGUUAGCUGCGGCACAGAGGACGUGGAAGGUCCCCCACACCUAGCGCCCAACGUUUACGGCGUGGACUAC